rnacentral:lncRNA from 1 species
CCGCUGUCCAGUUUUACUGGGUUACAUGCUCAUACCAGUUAUUAUACCGCAUAACAAUUACGAAACACAACUUCAUAUCAGUGAAAAAAAUAAUAGCUUCUUUUGCAUAUUUAUUUACAUUUAGCUGGCCUCUUUUCUCCAAACUCACUCAUGCAGGUUAGCCUGUGUACAAUGAUUUACCCAUUUGUAUAGCUGGGUGUUUUUCAUUGGAGCCCAUCGGGGUAAAUACCUUGUUCAGGGGCUUUACAGCUGCUGCUGGCAUUCAGAGCCGGGUCCUGCGAGCGUAAGGCACCUGCUCUAACCACUGCGCCCCCUGCAGUCGCCCGUGUCGACAACUAGACAUCUUCGCUGCUCGCCUUCCAGAGGGCUUAGAGGUCAUCGUGAGUCUCACGUGACGCUUACCGCGGUCGAACUGAACGGUUACGCAAGUAACACUUAAAACAAACAAGCGACGUGCCAUAUGUGACACUCCACACGCUCGUUUGUCUUUUAAUCCUCGAGGGAUAAAAACAGCAGCAGCCGGGGCUGUUCUGCACUCGUGCGAAAAAGAGACCUUCCGCGUAGAUCAGCGGCACAAGGAGAUAAUCCUCCCGCCCCUUCGGGUUUGACACGUUUCCGUACGACGAGGCCUGGCUUUCCCGCGGCAAACGGCACGGCCGGCGGCCCUAGGUAUCGGACCCUCAAAAGCCCAAGUCCAUCGAAGAAAACUCCAUCAGGCAGUCCACGGUCUCGGCUCCCUCUGUCCUCGGGCCUGAGUCAAACCCGCACGCCGCUGAGCUGCGGGGCUGUUCUGUCAGCGUGUCGGGCCGCUGGGAAGCUGCGCUCCCUGGCUGUUUCCAUGGCGACGCACAGGAUCAGCGUUCAGAGAGCGGCGAUCCGACCAGGGGACCGAGCGUCUCGCAGUCUCACACUGAACCGGCCCCCCGUUCCCCAGGAGGCGGUGAACGCUCUGCCUAGAAUUGUAGCGGCGGCGGCAGUCUGGGGACACAGCGCCAGGGCGCCGACUCCACGCCAGCACUUCCUGGCUCCGGGACACACGUUUUACAAGCCUUCAAUUAAGUGGCGACAAAACUGUUUUCAUCACUGCGCUAAUGUGGCACAAAAAAACAACACCCAGUAAGAAUAGCAAACGGGAAUAAAGAGAUUAUUUUGCACA